UACGAAGGGGGCUAGCGUUGUUCGGAAUUACUGGGCGUAAAGCGCACGUAGGCGGACUAUUAAGUCAGGGGUGAAAUCCCGGGGCUCAACCCCGGAACUGCCUUUGAUACUGAAGAUCUUGAGUUCGGGAGAGGUGAGUGGAACUGCGAGUGUAGAGGUGAAAUUCGUAGAUAUUCGCAAGAACACCAGUGGCGAAGGCGGCUCACUGGCCCGAUACUGACGCUGAGGCACGAAAGCGUGGGGAGCAAACAGG
rnacentral:rRNA from 1 species